rnacentral:lncRNA from 1 species
ACACCUGCUGGUCUCACCGCUAGGGCCUGGGCAUCACAGGCAGGGGGAAUGGGGAGGGGACGGUAGCGUCAGCCUACACCCACACGCAGUUUCCUGAUAAAAGGUCCUUUGGAAACUUUGAUUCUCUUCUCACCAAGUUGAACGGAGAUGUGUUCCCAUAGUAAGAGUGAGGCCCCUGCAUUUGCUGCCCUCGGUUUUCCCAACUAACACCAGGGCCUCCCCCCUGUACCCCAUUCAUAUGCCUCAGAAGCUGACAAUGACUGUUGGGCUUUUCCAAUGAAUACCAGAACACCAUUUCCUGCAGCCUGAAAAGAAGACAGUAUAAUUGUUUGGCAGCAAGAGAAUCCAGGUGCCCUUCCAUGAGAAGCCCAAGCCAUGUGGAGAAGCCACGUCUAGGGACUCCAGUUAACACUCUCAGCUGAGUCCCCAGCUGACAGUCAGCAUCAACUGCCAGCCACCUCUGUCUAAAAGUGGGCUAUCUUGGGCAUCCAGCCCAGUCAAGCCUUCAGAUGAGUCCAGUCCCAGCCACUAUCUCACACAACCACACGAGAGACAUCAAGAACUCCCAGUGGAGUCCAGUCAGCCCAUGGAACUGCAAGAGACAGGAUCUCGCUGCGUUGCUCAGACUGGUCUCGAACUCCUGGGCUUAAGGGAUUCUCCUGCCUCAAUCACAGCCUCCCAAGUAGCUGAGAUUAAAAGUGCUCACCACCGUGCCAGCGAGUUCAGUUUUUGAGCAAACUUGAUGCAAACACAACUUGAAAAAGAAGAGGACAGCCAAGUCAUCCCAGCCAAGGCCACCCUGGACCAGCCAGCCUCUUGCCAAGCUGCCAGUGACCACAGAGUCCAAUUAACAACAGCCAGUCCUGGCCCAGGGUGGAGCCAAGACUCUGAGGAGAGGGCUGAACUGUGAACCUAGAAGUACCAUCUCCCCCUGCACACACCUUUGGUCAAGUUGACCCCAAGAAGAAGGACAAGUCCUCUGCACGGCGAUGAGGCCAUACACACAGUCUGUGGCCCGGCUUUGGGAGACUGAUGGGACAAAGGAUGUUUUGCACGAUCCUUGGUCUCUGAGCAAAUAUAUACAUGGGUUAACACAAA